rnacentral:lncRNA from 1 species
GUCAGUGUGACCCUACACUCAAAGCCUGGGACUCACCCUGCAACAGGCUGGGUGAGGAGCCUUAGGGGCACCUGAGCUUUUGAAGCCACUCUGAUGAGACAGUCAAAAUCUCCAGGCCACACUCUGCAAUAAAAACUCAGCAAGUUUAGAGGAUACAGCAUGAAGCUUCCCAGACGGCCAGAAGUUCUGCUGACGGUACUAAAAUUCAGGAGCCUCAUCUAGCAUCCCAGGCAGAUGAAGACGUUGAUGCUCAAAAGUCGCUAAUGAGAAGCUGAGCCAAGAGUCAGAUCCAAAGUCCUUCCAGCUCUGAAGCCUGCAUUGUUUCCAACGCAUGAUGUUGUCUGAAUGGUGAGCAAUGGAAGACAGAAGAUACUAACAUGGUAGAAAUUAUCCUGAGUGGGGAGAGAGAAGGCCCUGGGGUGCUGCGAGUGUCCUGGGCAGGCAGCAGGGAGCCCCUUUAGCCCUGACUAGCUUGGUUGCAUUUCUGAUGGGUUUGACAUCAACAGGCUCUGCUGAGUCCCAAUUUGGCUAGGUACCACCACUUGUAGCACAGGGCAGAUCACUCCAAUGCCUGCAGCAUUCAUUUCUCAAUUUUCAAAUAAAACUAGCUUUGUUUGAAGGACAAAGUGAGAUGAUUUUUGACAGCACUGGGUAGAUGCAAUAACACUUUGC